rnacentral:lncRNA from 1 species
UAGAAACAGAACUCGGAACCCUGGAGUCAAUGGGCACCACAGUCCAGCGACAGCUGCCUAACACUCACUUGGCUGGAGAGAGUCAGCAGUGAUCAUGCUGUGCUGCUUUCCCAGGCCUUGAGACUGCAGCAACAGGACCCCACACAGGGAAAGCACUUGGGCAUGAGUGAGAGGAUGGAUGGCUAAGUCCCCAUGCUUCAGGCCACUCACCAGGAACUGCCUGGCCUUCAGGAGCAGCACAGGGCAGGUCUCACCAGACCCAGAGACCUGGGGACCUGAGAUGAGCGGGAGCCCAGGGCAGAUCUCCCUGGACCUGGACACCAGACACUCGGGGCCACCGAGUCCAGGACAGGUCCAGUCAGGCCCGGCCACCAUUGUCCUCCACUUCUUGGUGGAGCUACACUUCCAGGAGAAUCCACCAGCUGAACUCCUCGCCCAACUGGAGCAAGCUGAGCCCACUGAGGCACAGCCCACGGGACCAGGUCCAGCCCCAGCUGAAGUCCCAUGUGUGGAGCCCGAGCCAGCUCCACCUGCAGCUUCCUGCCCAGUGCUGGGACCACAGCCAGAGUCUGUGGAAGCCCCUUCACCUGCUGCAGUGCUGGGGCACCCGGUGGUUGCACGGUGGUCGAUGUCACCUCCUGAGCUCUGCCUGGGGCCAGGUCCUGGCCCCUUCCCACUGUUCCCCUCACUCAUGCUGGCUCUUGUUUUGGUAUUUACACUUGCCCUUAUUCCUUGGAUUUAUAUAAAUAAUAGAACUAGCUUUUAAUAAAACUUAAACUUUUAGUGUUUAAAAGGG